GAGUUACAUGGUAACAGCAACUCGUACAAUUAUUGUUGAGUUGUCUCAUAGUUCUAAAAUUUAGUUCAUGAGAUGGUUGUUUAACCCUUUUCUCUCUCAUCGCUCUGUCUCCUCCACAUAAUCGAAAAUUCUACGAGGCAUUGCAUGAGACAGUCCAUAAAAUUGUUGACGUGUAGCAACAUACUCGCAACGAGCGUAACCCUCGUGUUUAGUUGCCACUAUGAGUUUGAAACCCUGAACAGACCGCCUGUGUUAAGCCGGAGGAAGGAGAGGAUGAGGCCAAGUCAUCAUGCCC
rnacentral:ncRNA from 1 species